ensembl:snoRNA
AUCCUUUUGUAGUUCAUGAGUGUGAUGAUUGGGUGUUCAUGAUGCUGCAUGACAUGUGCCUCCCUGCAAACCUUGUUAAGACACCGGCACAGUACCUGUCUGAUG